UUUUGAAACAUUCGAUCGAGUACUUUCCUUAAAAAAAUUCACGAAAUUCGCCUAAGUUUCCAUGGGUUGCACUGCUAUAGCCUCAGGACUCAAGCUCUCUAUUCAACGCCUUCGAACCCCGUCAUUGCAAUAACCUACAAAAUCCAGACGCAAAUUAACCACAAACCACAAAGGCCAAGUUGAUAUGACCACUAAAUAAUAUUCGCUAUGGGUCUUCACCUUCGCGUUGAUCUGCUCAACACACACACCGCACGGACGCAAAUCAGCAAUGUGUAAGCAACAAAACCAACAUAAUCAGCAAAUGGGCACGAAGAAGCGUCUGCGCAAUGAAGCUACUGAUUGCGCUAUACUCGUAGUACAACAACUAUACGACACGAACCGAGCAAAAGGUUCAACCAAUCAUACAUGGUAAUUUACUUUUACUGUUUGUUAUUCCUGCUGCCAACAACAACAAAUGUUGCAUGAUGGAAGCACAGGCAAUUUCUUAUGCCACCAAGCAACACAGAUGCAGCAUUCGAAAAUCAUCAAUUGAAUUGACUGAAGCAGAUCAAAAGGUCGCAGCAACUGCAAAAAUAUUAAAAAUACAAUCAAAUAAUGAUGGAGAAAUGGAGUUCGAUCGGCUAUCAAAUACCGAUAUUCAGCAGUAAGCUUUGAACGAGGACAAAACGAGAUAUCUCCUGUUAUCAAACAAACAGUCGGCGAAUUCGCGACUUGACUCACACGUCACUGUUGAUAGUCAUAACUUGGAAGUAAUUUCGUCUAUGAUGGAAUCAGUAAUUAACACGAACAACAAUGUAAGCCUUGAAAUCCAAUGCAGAAUCACUCUUGCCAAUAUGUGCUACUUUAGACUGAGCAGGCAACUGAAAAAUAAAGUCCUACCUCGACAAGCAAAGCAAACUCAGUCCUUUAUUAUUCCCGCCCAGAUUUAUGUUGCAAAAUCGUGUACGAUGUCAACAUCCGAUGAGACGGCACUAGGAGUAUUCGAAGGAAAUGUUUUGCGGAAUAUUUAUGUGAACUUUGGCCGCAGACGAUGGAACGAUGAUGACAACAUUGACUUUGCCCAGCGAAUAGCGGCUACGCUGGCUAGGUCAUGUUGUCCGAAUGGAUGAAAGCACUUUCGUUUUGAAGGAGUUCGAUGCAGUAUCAGCUGGUGAAAGCAGAGGAAGAGGAAGACCUUCACCGUUCGAAAGGCCACGGGGAGAAGGACAUGGUUGCACUUGGCGUCACAAUUGGUGCCAAAAAGUGAAAAGGAAAUUCGAAUGGCACAUUUUUUUUAACUCGGCUAUAAUCGAAGAAGAAAAAGCUUUGGUGUAAAAUCGUAGAGGCCAUUGCAAUACCAAUAAAAGUAGGAAAAUAAAAUUCUAUAAAAGGUUUCAUUAGCAUGAUGAAAAGUCAUGUACUGAUAUUUUCAUAAAUUCAGCGAAGACUCACUUUGUUAGACAAUUUCAGGGCGGGCACCAAAAUAAAAGAAAAAACAUAGGUGCUAUUAUUCAAUUCUCAAGAGCAAUAACUGGAAAAUAAUCGAUUAUUAAUUUCGAGCAAUGAUAUUCUCCUAUAAAUAACCUACAACCAUAAACGUUCAU